ensembl:lncRNA
GUGGAAGCUGAAUUAGUGAGGAUGACUCCUGCUCCUGUCAUCUCUAAGCUCCUCACACAUCUUUACCUGCACAUGAGGAAAAUCACUCCUGUAGAAUGCAGUGGUUCAUCAGAACCUCUGGGGAUGUCCUGUGGAUUCUGUGGGUCCUGUGGGUUGCAGUGUGGGUCCUACCUAGACCAGGCUGAUCCUGGACCAUCCCACAGAUGCUCAAUCAGAUCUGGAUGUGGGGAGUGUGGAACCCAGGUGAACAGCUUAGCUCUGUCGUGUUCCUCGGACCACUCCUGAGUAGUUUUAGUUUGUCCUGCUGAGGGAGG